CGUGAGAAAUUCAUAAGAAGUUUGGUUUCGGCCCAAAUAUUGGGUGUAAUUAAUCACUCUCUCAUGU
rnacentral:tRNA from 2 species